rnacentral:rRNA from 1 species
GCUCAUAGCGUAUAUUAAGUUGUUGCAGUUAAAAAGCUCGUAGUUGAAUUUCGGGAUCAAUUUGUUGGUCGUGCCUCGGUACGUACUGGCAUUAUUGGUUUCUCCCUUCUGAAGAACCUUGAUGUCAUUAAUUUGGUGUCUUGGGGAAUCAGGACUGUUACUUUGAAAAAAUU